rnacentral:rRNA from 1 species
AGGACGAACGCUGGCGGCGUGCUUAACACAUGCAAGUCGAGCGGAAAGGCCCUUCGGGGUACUCGAGCGGCGAACGGGUGAGUAACACGUGAGUAAUCUGCCCCUAGCUCUGGGAUAGCUCCGGGAAACCGGGAUUAAUACCAGAUACGACCACUUUAGACAUCUUCUGUGGUGGAAAGAACUUCGGCUAGGGAUGAACUCGCGGCCUAUCAGCUUGUUGGUGAGGUAACGGCUCACCAAGGCGACGACGGGUAGCCGGCCUGAGAGGGCGACCGGCCACACUGGGACUGAGACACGGCCCAGACUCCUACGGGAGGCAGCAGUGGGGAAUAUUGCGCAAUGGGCGAAAGCCUGACGCAGCGACGCCGCGUGGGGGAUGAAGGCCUUCGGGUUGUAAACCCUUUCAGCAGGGACGAAGCGCAAGUGACGGUACCUGCAGAAGAAGCGCCGGCUAACUACGUGCCAGCAGCCGC